CCCAUCUCUGCCUCCGACCCACUCGGUAGGAGCGACGCAGAACAACAAAAACACCUCAGCCAACACCAUGGACAGGAGUGUGUGAUCGAGCACAAGGCCGAUCCUGAGCUGGUUCCAUGAUGAGCAAAACAUCCGUUUAAACAUUGCUGGGAUAACCCAGCUUUAAUAUAGUUUACUGAGCAAUUUCACAGCAAUAUGAUCCUGACCACGAAGAUCCUCAAAGAAAUUCAUGAAAGUGAACCAUACAACAUCAAAAGAACCACCUUAAAACAUAUGCCUGCUAUUUAAAAACAUCUGAUUUCCGGGAUGAAUCAAUCAAGGUCACUCCAGUCCAAUACUGAUAGUUUGAUGUAUUUCUUUCAAUCCUAUAUUAGAGGUAUCAGUGAUACAUAUAUGCAUUGUUUUAAUUGCUCUGUCCAAAAUGACUGUUUUUAAUACAUAUUAUUCGAUCUCAUUAUAAUCUUAUUAAUUAUUUUAAAUUCAUUUAUUAUCUUUUUUGGUAUAUUAUAUUAUCCUAUUUUCUGCACUUCAUUAGCACUUCUAUUACUUUGUAUUAUUGUUGUUGUGACUGUCUAUACUAUGUUAAGCACCUUGAGAUUUCUUUGUAUUUUAAAGUGUGCUAUACAAAUAAAAUCCAUUAUUAUUAUUAUUAUAUAUCAUCAUGAAAUAAGAUUGAUUGCAAAAAAAAUGCUUCACUGCUGUCAUUAAAACAUUCAUCAAGUAAUAUAUUACACACCUAAAAGAGUCAAGAUAUGUUAUGGUAAUUUUGGUUGUCCAACGAAUGGAAUAUUGCGUAACAUUUGAUCAGGGGUGGAGCUGGCCUUUCCGGCCAAUGGGUGUGAAGCAUCAAUUGUAUAUACGGUCAUUGGUACAAGGCGUGGUAAGGCACGGCAGGUUCAUUUAUUUAGCAUCGUACACUUCAAACACUGGGGUCAUUCAAAGUACUUUACAGAUGAGAAAAUACAACUUGGGCAGUGGAAAGCAGAUUGGGUGGUGGGGUUUAUCAAGCAAAUGUUGUGCAAGCUGAAAAUAAAGCAUAAAUGCAGGUAAGAAAUAUUCAAAUAAACAGCACUGCCUAGAAAAACACAGUGGUCAGGGCUCACCGGUCAGGUGCAGCCAAAGAGGGGUUAUUCUACAAAAUCCUAAUGAAUCCUGGACACUUGUGUGACAAAUUGCCUGUAGCACUCAGCUCUUAGUGACCCCCACACCAUAAUGAAGGCAUUUUCUGCAUCAAUACACCAGGUUGAUUUGGUCAGAUAGUUAUAAAUGCCUUGUGUUGCUGAAGCUGAUACCUUUAGCAGGGGUGUCUAACUCAUUUUCACCCUGGGCCACAUCAGCAUUAUGGUUGCCCUCAAAGGGCCGUUUGUAACUGUAAGACCAGGGGUGUCAAACUCAUUUUCACCCUGGGCCACAUCAGCAUUAUGGUUGCCCUCAAAGGGCCGUUUGUAACUGUAAGACCAGGGGUGUCGAACUCAUUUUCACCCUGGGCCACAUCAGCAUUAUGGUUGCCAUCAAAGGGCUGGUUGUAAAUGUAAGACUGUAUAAAUGUAACUACUCCCUAACAUAUUGUUAAAUAACUUUGCAUUUGAUUAUUGUUUAUUCAAGUGUAAAAAUAUUGUACAUACAUUUAUAUAAAUAUAUGUAAGCACAUUUCUCUAUUAUAACAUAAAUUAUUUUGAUUUAGGGUUAAGAAACCUGCAUUACUCUAACAAAGAUCAAACUUUUAAAGUGAAUAACAAAGACAAAUAUGAAACACAAGUUAUUAGCCUACAUUAACUUUGUUCAAAGCUUUUUUGUUACAACUAUGGUACAACAAAUAAUUGUGAGUUGUUAAGAACAUGUGUGACAGAUGUGGCAUUUUACAAAAACAAAUGGCUGCAGACAGCCUUGCAGAGGACCAACUAACAACCAACUAACAACCAACUAAUGAGAGAUGGUUUUGAUUAGAGUAAACAUUUGGCUGUAUGAACACAUACACCUGUAAACACACUGAAUACAUUGCUACACAUACCAAGUAGUUUAUGUAAUUAACUCAAAAUAACAAUAAGACUUGUUUUAGUUCACAACUAUAUUGGUCAAGUUCCGGGUGAAGUUGAUGAGGUGAUGCUUCAUGGCCUUGAACACACCAAGUAGAUCCUUCCUCUCCCUAGGACACCAUAUCACACAUCCUCCGCAUCUAUUGAUCAUGUUCGGAAAUUAACAACAAACAAAAAAACAAAAUGGAAGCACAUAUUACACUGUACUUAUCCCUGGUUGAAAAACGUUUUAUUAUAUUUUUAAUUCAGGUUUAAAAAAAAAAUGCUUACCUAUUUGUUUUCUGGCCGGAUGUCUGACACCGUUUUCCCGUGGUCAGUCCGUCAAUGUCUGGCUUUAGGUCUUGUGCUGUAGCAAUCCGUAAAACAGCGUGAGGUUGUCAGCGGUGAUGCGUGAUCUGUGCUUGGUCUUGUUAAGAUUCAUUAUUGAAAACAUCUGGUCACACAGAUUAGUGCUCCCAAACAUGGACAGAACGCGGGCAGCAUGAAGUUGGAGCUGUGGCAUCAAACAGGAGGCAGUUGAAAGUAAAAGUCCUUGAUUGCAGCGUCCUGCAACUUUGCUCUCAGGCCGCUAUGGCUUUGUAGCUUUAUUAACUCUCUCUGAAGGAGAUAGGGCGCAGUGUCGACGUCGGUAGUGAAAGGAUUGGCAAAGAUGGCAAAGUCUGAGCGCUGUGUUCUGAAGUCAGAGAAGCGCCGAUCAAAUUCAGUAAUUAACCGGUUCACUUUGGUAGCCAACCGAGCACAUGAAAAAGCACCCGGGAACUGAGGCUUAGAUUUUCUGGC
ensembl:lncRNA